GUGGAUUAAUUCGAUGCAACGCGAAAAACCUUACCUACCCUUGACAUGUACGGAAUCCUGCUGAGAGGUGGGAGUGCUCGAAAGAGAACCGUAACACAGGUGCUGCAUGGCUGUCGUCAGCUCGUGUCGUGAGAUGUUGGGUUAAGUCCCGCAACGAGCGCAACCCUUGUCCUUAGUUGCUACGCAAGAGCACUCUAGGGAGACUGCCGGUGACAAACCGGAGGAAGGUGGGGAUGACGUCAAGUCCUCAUGGCCCUUAUGGGUAGGGCUUCACACGUCAUACAAUGGUCGGUACAGAGGGCUGCCAAACCGCGAGGUGGAGCUAACCCCAGAAAACCGAUCGUAGUCCGGAUCGCAGUCUGCAACUCGACUGCGUGAAGCUGGAAUCGCUAGUAAUCGCGGAUCAGCAUGUCGCGGUGAAUACGUUCCCGGGUCUUGUACACACCGCCCGUCACACCAUGGGAGUGGGUUUUGCCAGAAGUAGGUAGCCUAACCGUAAGGAGGGCGCUUACCACGGCAGGAUUCAUGACUGGGGUGAAGUCGUAACAA
rnacentral:rRNA from 1 species